rnacentral:lncRNA from 1 species
UCUUCUUUUGUCCUUUUAGAAAUCAUGCUGUCAUGAACUCCACGUGACAGGGUUUCAUCUUUAUACACGGCUCACUGAAGCUCUGACUACCCAGACUCAAGCCAUCCUCCCCUCUCAGCCCCUGCAAGUAGCUGGGACUACAGCUGCUGGCAGAAGUGAUUCUAAUUUGAGUCCAGAUCAGGCAACAAAAAUGAAAAACAAGAUGAAGUACAGUAAAGGAAGAGAAGAAUUAGAAGCAAGUUAAGGAACAUUCACUACUACUUAUAUUCUGCUCCUUGUUGGAAAUCUGCUUAAGUUUGAAAAGGAGAGUAGAGGGAACUUGCAGAAAUCUUUUCUAGAAAAUAGAAAGGACCAAAUUGGAGAGCAAGAGGCAGUUGUUUCCAAAUUUUUUCUUUGUAGAAACAAUCAUUACUUUUAAAAUAAAAGCCAAUAAAUUUUUGAUGCAUAGCUACAAGCUUAUAAAUACCUUUAUAAGGCAGGCAUUUAUGAUUAUAGCAAUAUUUUUUGUAUUAUGAAAUGUAUAUAACAACAUGAAAUUAAAAUGAAUGGGAUAAAUAGCAUUUUUAGAAAAUGUUAUUAUUGUGUUAUAUUUAUUAGUGGUGCUAAAAACUUAAACAUUUUAUUAAAAUAGUUUGGUGCUUGCAGGGUGAUUAAAUAUACAUUAUCAUUGUGAAAAUUUUCACUUAAAACUUCAUGCUAGAAUAACUUGCAGGUCUGGUUCUAAAUGGUUCUGUUUAUUGAGACAUUCUGAUGAUUGGCUUAAUAACUGUCAUUACUGAAAAAAAUCAAGUUGUAAAAAUGAAAUAAUUCCAAAUACAAGAAAUUCAUGGUGCCUGCAGUUGCAAAAUCUUUGAACUCAUAUUUCAAUCCCACCCACCAAUAACGCAAAUAUAUUGUUGAAAUGGGCUAGCAAGUUUUGAGCUUCCCUGAUAUUCAGCAGUUGUUCUUCCACAUGAAAAAGUACUGCAUUUUCA